rnacentral:rRNA from 1 species
GUGACCUCAAAUCAGGUAGGAUUACCCGCUGAACUUAAGCAUAUCAAUAAGCGGAGGAAAAGAAACUAACAAGGAUUCCCCUAGUAACUGCGAGUGAAGCGGGAAAAGCUCAAAUUUAAAAUCUGGCAGUCUUUGGCUGUCCGAGUUGUAAUCUAGAGAAGUGCUAUCCGCGCUGGACCGUGUACAAGUCUCCUGGAAUGGAGCGUCAUAGAGGGUGAGAAUCCCGUCUUUGACACGGACUACCAGGGCUUUUGUGAUGUGCUCUCAAAGAGUCGAGUUGUUUGGGAAUGCAGCUCAAAAUGGGUGGUAAAUUCCAUCUAAAGCUAAAUAUUGGCGAGAGACCGAUAGCGAACAAGUACCGUGAGGGAAAGAUGAAAAGAACUUUGGAAAGAGAGUUAAACAGUACGUGAAAUUGCUGAAAGGGAAACGCUUGAAGUCAGUCGCGUUGUCCAGGGAUCAACCUUGCUUUUGCUUGGUGCACUUCCUGGUUGACGGGUCAGCAUCAAUUUUGACCAUUGGAAAAAGGUCAGGGGAAUGUGGCAUCUUCGGAUGUGUUAUAGCCCUUGGUUGCAUACAAUGGUUGGGAUUGAGGAACUCAGCACGCCGCAAGGCCGGGUUUUUAACCACGUACGUGCUUAGGAUGCUGGCAUAAUGGCUUUAAUCGACCCGUC